rnacentral:rRNA from 1 species
UACGUAGGGGCGAAGCGUUAUCCGGAAUUACUGGGCGUAAAGGGUGCGUAGGUGGCCUGACAAGUCAGGGGGUCGAAAGGCAACGGCUCAACCGUUGUAAGCCCCUUGAAACUGUCGGGCUUGAGUUCAGGAGAGGAAAGCGGAAUUCCAAGUGUAGCGGUGAAAUGCGUAGAUAUUUGGAGGAACACCAGUGGCGAAGGCGGCUUUCUGGACUGAUACUGACACUGAGGCACGAAAGCGUGGGGAGCAAACAGG